AUUGAACGCUGGCGGCAUGCCUUACACAUGCAAGUCGAACGGCAGCGGGGGAGAAGCUUGCUUUUCCUGCCGGCGAGUGGCGAACGGGUGAGUAAUACAUCGGAACGUGCCCUGUAGUGGGGGAUAACUAGUCGAAAGAUUAGCUAAUACCGCAUACGACCUGAGGGUGAAAGUGGGGGACCGCAAGGCCUCAUGCUAUAGGAGCGGCCGAUGUCUGAUUAGCUAGUUGGUGGGGUAAAGGCCUACCAAGGCGACGAUCAGUAGCUGGUCUGAGAGGACGAUCAGCCACACUGGGACUGAGACACGGCCCAGACUCCUACGGGAGGCAGCAGUGGGGAAUUUUGGACAAUGGGCGAAAGCCUGACCCAGCAGUGCCGCGUGUGUGAAGAAGGCCUUCGGGUUGUAAAGCACUUUUGUCCGGAAAGAAAUGGCUCUGGUUAAUACCUGGGGUCGAUGACGGUACCGGAAGAAUAAGGACCGGCUAACUACGUGCCAGCCGCCGCCGUAA
rnacentral:rRNA from 1 species